UACGUAGGUGGCGAGCGUUGUCCGGAUUUACUGGGCGUAAAGGGAGCGUAGGCGGACUUUUAAGUGAGAUGUGAAAUACCCGGGCUCAACUUGGGUGCUGCAUUUCAAACUGGAAGUCUAGAGUGCAGGAGAGGAGAGUGGAAUUCCUAGUGUAGCGGUGAAAUGCGUAGAUAUUAGGAGGAACACCAGUUGCGAAGGCGGCUCUCUGGACUGUAACUGACGCUGAGGCACGAAAGCGUGGGGAGCAAACAGGAUUAGAUACCCU
rnacentral:rRNA from 1 species